rnacentral:lncRNA from 10 species
CUGCCUGUCUUGCUGCUGCUUCUUGGGGGAGCCGGUUACUUCCUGUGGCAACAGCAGGAGGAAAAAAAGACUCAGUUCAGAAAGAAAAAGAGAGAGCAAGAGUUGAGAGAAAUGGCAUGGAGCACAAUGAAGCAAGAACAAAGCACAAGAGGAUGGAGAAGUAUCCAGUAUGCAUCUCGGGGAGAGAGACAUUCAGCCUAUAAUGAAUGGAAAAAGGCCCUCUUCAAGCCUGGUGAGGAAAUGCUUCAGAUGAGGCUCCACUUUGUUAAAUAAAUUGGAUGUAUGGAAAAAUAGACUGCAGAAAAGGGGAACUCAUUUAGCUCAUGAGUGGUCGAAUGAAGGUUGAAAAUUAACCUCUGAGUAUAAAGCAUUAGUGGGCAGAGUGAAUAUGGGGAGGGAAACAAGAAAAACGUAGAAAGGAUCCUUGCUGCUUCCUGAGGCCGCGUCA